rnacentral:snoRNA from 1 species
AUCAACUGUUGUAUAUUUACUCGACGUUGGUGUUUUCGCUCCUGGCACAGAACAAACUUUCAUAACCCGUUGCUGGGCACCUGGCUUUGAGCAGUCGUCUUGACUAUCAUGAGAAGUUGGGAAUCAGCUGAGGUUACAUUU